GUGCUCACUUCGGCAGCACAUACACUAAAAUUGGAAUGAAAGAGAUUAGCAUGCCCCCUGUGCAAGGAUGACACACAAAUUCGCGAAACAUUCCAUAUUUUU
rnacentral:snRNA from 1 species